rnacentral:rRNA from 1 species
GAUGAACGCUGGCUACAGGCUUAACACAUGCAAGUCGAGGGGAAACGACGGGGAAGCUUGCUUCCCCGGGCGUCGACCGGCGCACGGGUGAGUAACGCGUAUCCAACCUGCCUCUGACUGAGGGAUAACCCGUCGAAAGUCGGCCUAAUACCUCAUGGUAUCGUCUGCGGGCAUCCAACGACGAUUAAAGAUUUCAUCGGUCAGGGAUGGGGAUGCGUCUGAUUAGCUUGUUGGCGGGGUAACGGCCCACCAAGGCUACGAUCAGUAGGGGUUCUGAGAGGAAGGUCCCCCACAUUGGAACUGAGACACGGUCCAAACUCCUACGGGAGGCAGCAGUGAGGAAGAGUGGUCAAUGGGCGAGAGCCUGAACCAGCCAAGUAGCGUGCAGGAAGACGGCCCUAUGGGUUGUAAACUGCUUUUAUGCGGGGAUAAAGUGAGGGACGUGUCCCUCAUUGCAGGUACCGCAUGAAUAAGGACCGGCUAAUUCCGUG